rnacentral:rRNA from 1 species
UCGAACGGUAACAGGGAGCUUGCUCCGCUGACGAGUGGCGAACGGGUGAGUAAUACAUCGGAACGUGUCCUGUAGUGGGGGAUAGCCCGGCGAAAGCCGGAUUAAUACCGCAUACGCUGUACGCAGGAAAGGGGGGGAUCGCAAGACCUCUCGCUAUAGGGGCGGCCGAUGGCAGAUUAGCUAGUUGGUGGGGUAAAGGCCUACCAAGGCGACGAUCUGUAGCUGGUCUGAGAGGACGACCAGCCACACUGGGACUGAGACACGGCCCAGACUCCUACGGGAGGCAGCAGUGGGGAAUUUUGGACAAUGGGCGAAAGCCUGAUCCAGCAAUGCCGCGUGUGUGAAGAAGGCCUUCGGGUUGUAAAGCACUUUUGUUCGGGAAGAAAAGGUCUGGACUAAUAAUCUGGGCUGAUGACGGUACCGGAAGAAUAAGCACCGGCUAACUACGUGCCAG